rnacentral:rRNA from 1 species
GAUGAACGCUGGCGGCGUGCCUAAUACAUGCAAGUAGAACGCUGAAGCUUGGUGCUUGCACCGAGCGGAUGAGUUGCGAACGGGUGAGUAACGCGUAGGUAACCUGCCUCUUAGCGGGGGAUAACUAUUGGAAACGAUAGCUAAUACCGCAUAAAAGUCGAUAUCGCAUGAUAUUGAUUUGAAAGGUGCAAAUGCAUCACUAAGAGAUGGACCUGCGUUGUAUUAGCUAGUUGGUGAGGUAACGGCUCACCAAGGCGACGAUACAUAGCCGACCUGAGAGGGGGAUGGGCCACACUGGGACUGAGACACGGCACAGACGCCUACGGGAGGCAGCAGUAGGGAAUCUUCGGCAAUGGGGGCAACCCUGACCGAGCAACGCCGCGUGAGUGAAGAAGGUUUUCGGAUCGUAAAGCUCUGUUGUAAGAGAAGAACGAGUGUGAGAGUGGAAAGUUCACACUGUGACGGUAACUUACCAGAAAGGGACGGCUAACUACGUG